rnacentral:rRNA from 1 species
CAGCAGCCACGGUAAUACGAAGGGGGCUAGCGUUGCUCGGAAUGACUGGGCGUAAAGGGCGCGUAGGCGGCGAUCAAAGUCAGGCGUGAAAUUCCUGGGCUCAACCUGGGGGCUGCGCUUGAUACUUGGUUGCUUGAGUGGGGAAGAGGGUCGUGGAAUUCCCAGUGUGGAGGUGAAAUUCGUAGAUAUUGGGAAGAACACCGGUGGCGAAGGCGGCGACCUGGUCCUUGACUGACGCUGAGGCGCGAAAGCGUGGGGAGCAAACAGGAUUAGAUACCCCCGUAGUCCCUGUCUCUUAUAC